rnacentral:rRNA from 1 species
GGGGGCAACCCUGGCGGCGAGCGGCGAACGGGUGAGUAAUACAUCGGAACGUACCCAGGAGUGGGGGAUAACACAUCGAAAGAUGUGCUAAUACCGCAUACGCCCUGAGGGGGAAAGCGGGGGACCGCAAGGCCUCGCGCUGUUGGAGCGGCCGAUGUCGGAUUAGCUAGUUGGUGGGGUAAGGGCCUACCAAGGCGACGAUCCGUAGCUGGUCUGAGAGGAUGAUCAGCCACACUGGGACUGAGACACGGCCCAGACUCCUACGGGAGGCAGCAGUGGGGAAUUUUGGACAAUGGGCGAAAGCCUGAUCCAGCCAUUCCGCGUGAGUGAAGAAGGCCUUCGGGUUGUAAAGCUCUUUCGGCAGGAAAGAAACGGUCUGUGUUAAUACCAUGGGCUAAUGACGGUACCUGCAGAAGAAGCACCGGCUAACUACGUGCCAGCAGCCGCGGUAAUACGUAGGGUGCGAGCGUUAAUCGGAAUUACUGGGCGUAAAGCGUGCGCAGGCGGUUGUGUAAGACAGGCGUGAAAUCCCCGGGCUCAACCUGGGAACUGCGUUUGUGACUGCACAGCUAGAGUAUGGCAGAGGGGGGGUGGAAUUCCACGUGUAGCAGUGAAAUGCGUAGAGAUGUGGAGGAACACCGAUGGCGAAGGCAGCCCCCUGGGCCAAUACUGACGCUCAUGCACGAAAGCGUGGGUAGCAAACAGGAUUAGAUACCCUGGUAGUCCACGCCCUAAACGAUGUCAACUAGGUGUUGGGGAGGGUAAAACCUUUUAGUACCGGAGCUAACGCGUGAAGUUGACCGCCUGGGGGAGUACGGCCGCAAGGUUAAAACUCAAAGGAAUUGACGGGGACCCGCACAAGCGGUGGAUGAAAGGUGGAUUAAUUCGAUGCC